CUGCAGUGUGCCAUGGAGAUUUAGAGGGAUGGGGCCUGGGGAGGGUGUGUGGGAGGGGGAGAGUGUUGGCUGUUCAGGGUGUUAGGUUGUUGUUGUCUUGGAUGCUCACUGUCUAAGUAGGACUACCCAAAUGUUCUGAGUUUCAGACGUCAUUUUCCUGCAAAGAACUUCCAAGCUCAGGUGGAACCGGCUGAGAUGGAGGUUCUCACGAGGGGGUUGAGGGGUACAGGUGUCCUGGGAGAGUGAGGGUGGCCCGGGGCACGGAGGGGCGAACCACUGGCCCAUAGCCCGCCUCAAUGGAGGGAUCCCAGGGGCCAAGUCAAAAGGCCAGGUUCCACUUGAUGGAGAAAGAAAAGGGCUGUUUCAGCCACUGCCCAGCAGGAAAGAUCUGGUUGUGGAAGACCUCUUUCAGGACUCUCUGUUUGUCUGAAGGCUGUCACAGCAGAUGAGUACUCAGCAAACAGCGUGAACAAGGAUUUGAACCAGAAAACCAACAGAGCCUUGACAAUAUUGUGAUUGGGCCUUGUCUCUUUAGUGGGGGCUGAAAGGCGAAUUGAGAGCAGGGACAAGUGCGCAUUCAGAGCUGGACGUGGAAGCUUUCGGGUUGUUUUUGAUGGAUUCUGGCGGAUAAAUCGCAGUCUGUAUGUGUUGGACAAAGUUAAAUCAUGUUAAUCUCCUCUUUCGCUCAUUUAAGGUAGAAUGGGUGUGAACCUGAUCCACUUCCUGUCCUCUUCUUCAUUGAGGUCUCACAAAGUCAUUGGGUAAUCGUAUGUCCACUUUGUUCUGUCUUGAAAGAUUUGGGUGUCCUUGUCAAGUCGCCAUGUUGGCACUGACCACUAUCCCUCUGAAAACGUAUUGAAAUAAACAUCACUCACUAGAUGAUUCAAUAAAUCAUUUAAAUUGAUUUAAAUGUA